UUAAUUAAGAGGAGGGGUUAAUUAGUUGGGGUGUUAAUUAGUUGGGGGGUUAAUUAAGGGGAGGAAUGGGGGAGGAAGAUGGAGGUGAUGGCGGCGCUGUAGUCAGUGUAGGAAUGGAGGGCAUUGGGGUUAAUUAGGAGGGCUAAUUAAGAGAGGUGUUAAUUAAGAAGAGAGGUUAAUUAAGAGGAGAGGGGUUAAUUAGUUGGGGGGGUUAAUUAGUUGGGGUGUUAAUUAGUUGGGGGGUUAAUUAAGGGGGAGGAAGAUGGAGGAAGAUGGAGGUGAUGGCGGUGCUGUAGUCAGUGUAGGAAUGGAGGACAUUGGGGUUAAUUAGGAGGGGGUUAAUUAAGAGGAAGGGCUAAUUAAGAGGGGUGUUCAUUAAGAGGAGAGGUUAAUUAAGAGGAGAGGUGUUAAUUAAGAGGAGGGGU